rnacentral:tRNA from 1 species
UAGAGAUUAGUCUAAAGAAAGACCCUGAACCUUGAACUCUGUACUGUAAGUCCAAAUCCUACAUCUCUAG